rnacentral:miRNA from 1 species
CAUUCUGAGAAUAAUCAUCCG